rnacentral:rRNA from 1 species
UACUCCUACGGGAGGCAGCAGUGCGGAAUUUUAGAUAAUGGAGGCAACUCUGAUCUAGCGACGCCGCGUGCAGGAAGAAGGUCUUCGGAUUGUAAACUGCUGUGGUAAGGGAAAAAUGCUAUGUAGAGUGGAAAGCUACAUAGAGGGAUGGUACCUUACUAGAAAGCCCCGGCUAACUACGUGCCAGCAGCCGCGGUAAUA